GGGCGGGGGGCGCCUCAUGAAGGCCGGGCUGGGUGUCCCAAACCAGGGCCACGGAAGGGCAGCGGGAAGGAGGCGUGCGGGUCGUAGGGGCUGAGGGGCAGGUGUUGGGGGCGGAAUGGGAGGGACCCGGGACCUCGCAUGCAUGAAGCUGCAGGCCCGGGGCGCCCUAGUGUUUGAGAGGACGCGCGAUGCAUACCUGAACCUGGGUGCGCAGCCGCAGCUGCCGCCAUCUGCUUCAGGGUGCUGGGCUUUGACCAGGUGGCUGGGCAGCGCCAGUUGAAAGCGGUUGAGCAGGCAGGGCGCAGUGGCUCACGCCUGUAAUCCCAGCACUUUGGGAGACCAAGGCGGGCCGAUCACGGGGUCAGGAGAUGGAGACCAUCCUGGCUAACAGGGUGAAACCGCGUCUCUACUAAACAUACAAAAAAAAAAAAAGUAGCCGGGCGUGGUGGUGGACGCCUGUAGUCCCAGCACUUUGGAAGGCUGAGGCGGGCGGAUCACGAGGUCAGGAGAUGGAGAACAUCCUGGCUAACAGGUGAAACCCCAUCUCUACUAAAAGUACAAAAACCAAUUAGCCGGGUGCGGUGGCGGGCGCCUGUAGUCCCAGCUACUCCGGAGGCUGAGGCAGGAGAAUGGCGUGAACCCAGGAGAUGGAGCUUGCAGUGAGCCGAGAUCGCGCCACCGCACUCUAGCCUGGGCAACCCAAGGAGACUCCAUCUCAAAAGAACAACAACAACAAAAACCAGCUGAGCAGCGCGGGCCAUGUGGCAGUGGGUCCAGCUCCAGGGCGCCGUAGGGCAGCGGUGUGCAGUGUUCGGGUAAUAGGACGCAGACGGCGGGGUCGCCGGGGGCUUCGGGGUGGCCUCGGCCCCAGGCCAUCCAGCCCUGUGGACCGAAUGGAGUCCCGCACGCUGUUGAGGUAGUUGUGGGUUCCCCUGGCCUCGGGCUGGGCGCGGGGUCAGCGCACCUGCAGGCGGCGCUUGCGGUACGGGCUGGUGAAAGUGGAGAUGGACGGCAGGAUGGAUUCACUUGGCCACAUGGCGCGAAGCUGGGAAGACGGACACCGGCUGGGAAAGGGUUUCUUCUGUCCAUAAAAGCUACUCCAAUGGCUGUGGGAGACUUAAUUCCAAUUCCAGACCUAAGUCAGUGUUAGUCUACCACUGUACAUCUGGUAACCUCAAUCCCUGCAACCGGGGCAAAAUGGGUUUCCAGGUCUUGGCAACCUUUGAAAUUCCAAUUCCAUUUGAGAGAGCUUUGACGAGGCCAUAUGCUGAUUUCACCACCAGCAACUUCAGAACCCAGUACUGGAAUGCCAUCAGCCAGCAGGCCCCUGCCAUCAUCUAUGACUUCUAUCUGUGGCUCACUGGAAGGAAACCCAGGCAAGGCCAAGAUGGCUCAAAGAGCAACCAGCCACCUCUGCAGCCUGCCACCUCCUGCUGGCAAGAUUUGUUUUUGCAUCCUGUGAAGAGCCAAGGAGGCACCAGGGCAUAAGUCUACUCACUUAUAUCUGUCUGGAACAUAACGCUUGUUUGUUUUUACAACAAAUAAAAUUGAUCUUGAAUAAAAA
ensembl:lncRNA novel transcript